AUUGAACGCUGGCGGAAUGCUUUACACAUGCAAGUCGAACGGCAGCACGGACUUCGGUCUGGUGGCGAGUGGCGAACGGGUGAGUAAUGUAUCGGAACGUGCCCAGUCGUGGGGGAUAACGUAGUGAAAAUUACGCUAAUACCGCAUACGAUCUAUGGAUGAAAGCGGGGGAUCGCAAGACCUCGCGCGAUUGGAGCGGCCGAUAUCAGAUUAGGUAGUUGGUGGGGUAAAGGCCCACCAAGCCAACGAUCUGUAGCUGGUCUGAGAGGACGACCAGCCAGACUGGAACUGAGACACGGUCCAGACUCCUACGGGAGGCAGCAGUGGGGAAUUUUGGACAAGGGGCGAAAGCCUGAUCCAGCCAUUCCGCGUGCAGGAUGAAGGCCCUCGGGUUGUAAACUGCUUUUGUACAGAACGAAAAGGUUUCUACUAAUACUAGGAGCUCAUGACGGUACUGUAAGAAAAAGCACCGGCUAACUACGUGCCAGCCGCCGCGGUAA
rnacentral:rRNA from 1 species